GACGAACGCUGGCGGCGUGCUUAACACAUGCAAGUCGAACGGAAAGGCCCUGCUUUCGGGGUACUCGAGUGUCGAACGGGUGAGUAACACGUGUGUGAUCUGCCCUGCACUUCGUGAUAAGCCUUGGAAACUGUGGCUAAUACCGGAGAUGAGCCAUUUUUCUUGUGAUGGUUGGAAAGUUUUUUCGGUGUGGGAUGAGCUCGCGGCCUAUCAGCUUGGUGGUGGGGUAAUGGCCUACCUAGGCGGCCACGGGUAGCCGGCCUGGGAGGGUGGACGGCCAAAUUGGGACUGAGAUACGGCCCAGAAUCCUACGGGGGGCAGCAGGGGGGAAUAUUGCAAAAUGGGCGCAAGCCUGAUGCAGCGACGCCGCGUGGGGGAUGACGGCCUUCGGGUUGGAAACUCCUUUCGCUAGGGACGAAGCUUUUUGUGACGGUAACUAGAUAAGAAGCACCGGCUAACUACGUG
rnacentral:rRNA from 1 species